UUUUACACGUCCAGAUGAGUAAGAUGGUAAGGCAGUGCAGUAGCGGCGAAAGGGCGAGUAGUGAUGUAUACAAAAAAGUGACGGAAUGUGUACACACAUCGGUGUGCAACGUUUGACAACAAUUAAUGGAAGUUAUAUCCUGAACGUGAUCCUGGAGUUUUGCUGAUACGCUGCCUGCCGACCGAGAAGCCGAAGAUGAUACUUUCCGAUUUCUGUCAUCGUAUUUGAACACGCUGGUGUCUAUGAUUUCGAUCGCCCAUCAGGAUUGACUCGAAUCGUGAAGAAUGCGAG